rnacentral:rRNA from 1 species
UUUAAUUCGAAGCAACGCGAAGAACCUUACCAAAUCUUGACAUCCCUCUGACCGGGACUUAACCGUCCCUUUUCUUCGGGACAGGGGAGACAGGUGGUGCAUGGUUGUCGACAGCUCGUGUCGUGAGAUGUUGGGUUAAGUCCCGCAACGAGCGCAACCCCUAUCCUUAGUAGCCAGCGGUCCGGCCGGGCACUCUGAGGAGACUGCCAGGGAUAACCUGGUGGAAGGCGGGGAUGACGUCAAAUCAUCAUGCCCCUUAUGAUUUGGGCUACACACGUGCUACAAUGGCGUAAACAAAGGGAAGCGAACCUGUGAGGGUGGGCAAAUCUCAAAAAUAACGUCCCAGUUCGGACUGCAGUCUGCAACUCGACUGCACGAAGCUGGAAUCGCUAGUAAUCGCGGAUCAGAAUGCCGCGGUGAAUACGUUCCCGGGUCUUGUACACACCGCCCGUCACACCAUGGGAGUCAGUAACGCCCGAAGUCAGUGACCUAACCGCAAGGGAGGAGCUGCGAAGGCGGGACCGAUGACUGGGGAGAAGUCGCAACAAGGAACCGUAASCUCACAAUCGAACUCCCCCGCGC